UACGUAGGGUGCAAGCGUUGUCCGGAAUCAUUGGGCGUAAAGAGCGUGUAGGCGGCCCGGUAAGUCCGCUGUGAAAGUCCAGGGCUCAACCCUGGAAAGCCGGUGGAUACUGUCGGGCUAGAGUCCGGAAGGGGCGAGUGGAAUUCCUGGUGUAGCGGUGAAAUGCGCAGAUAUCAGGAGGAACACCAAUGGCGAAGGCAGCUCGCUGGGACGGUACUGACGCUGAGACGCGAAAGCGUGGGGAGCAAACAGG
rnacentral:rRNA from 1 species